rnacentral:tRNA from 1 species
GGUGGGGUACCCAAGUGGCCAACGGGAGCAGACUGUAAAUCUGCCGGCGUAACGCCUACGAAGGUUCGAAUCCUUCCCCCACCA